GCUGCUGUUCCCUCUGCCAGCAUCAUUCCUGGGGCUUUGACAUUUGAAUUCACAAGUUAGCUUUUAUUUUUAACAGUUGUUGAAAAUAUAUAUUUUUAAACUCAGAAGUAAUUCCCUUUUUCCUAGCAAUUUACUUGUGGCAUUCAGUCGUGUGAUUUUACCUAGAGUGAGUUGGAAAUGUUAAAUAUUGGGAAAAAAGCAUUCCAUAAUUUCUAAGGGGCUAUGCCACUAAGGGAUCCAAUCUGGAACAUGUGUGUCUGUGUGUGCAUUUGUGUGUAUAUGUAUAUGUUUGUGUUUCUUCACUUGAUCUCAGCCAAAAGGCCAAGAAGUUAUUCUGUGCAUUCCUAUUACUUAUACUAAGAAUAACUUAGGCUGGGCACAAUGGCUUAUGCUUAUAAUCCGAGCACUUUGGUAGGCCAAGAUCACCUAAGCUCAGGAGUUUGAGAUUAGCCUUGGCAACAUGGCAAAACCCUGUCUCUACACAAAAUACAAAAAUUAGCCAGGCAUGGUGGUAUAUGCUUGUAAUCACAGCUGCUCAGAAGGCUGAGGCAGGGGAAUUGCUUGAGCCCCAGUGGUGGAGGUUGCAGUGAGCUGAGAUCGUGAGAUUGUGCUCUUGUACUCCAGCCUGGGAGAUAGAGACCUUGUAUCAAAGAAAAUAAAAGAACUUAUUAUAAUAUAUAUUUAUACAAAUUCCUUCAUUUUGGUCUUCCUCCUUCCAGCAAUGGUGUCUCUUUAAAUGCCUUUUAUUUAUCUUUGCCUGUUCUAUCAGAAUGUAUGGGAAAUCCCAACACCUAUAUAGAUCAGCUGUUGAGGUCCCUUUGUUAGAAAGAUGUAGCAGGGAGACUAUAUUAUCAUUGGAAGUCUAGCCAUACACACAGUGCAAGCAUAUUGGGAAAUAUGUAUCCUCAAAGGCAAACAGGGCCCGAACAAACAACGCUCCUUUUAUCAGAUGAGCAGAAAUUGCAGCAUCUUUUGGAAAUACAGAUAGCAGGCUUCCUCAAUGCAAGGUGACCAUGUGACUCAGAAAAAGGGCUUCCCAAAGCACUUACAGAAUCUGUUGUCUCCUAGGGCUGCAUGAAAAAGGCCAGCUUUAUACAAGCAUAUAUUCAGGAGACUAUGCUGUAUUAUAGGCAGCUCCUGAUUAGUCUCCAUGAUUAAUGGAAUCAGUAUUUUCUAGAAGCAUCAAUGUUUUUCUAGAUUGUCUCAAGUUAUUCUAAUAUGCAGUCUACACU
rnacentral:lncRNA from 1 species